AGAGAGGUGCGUGGUGUGCGCGUGUGCGUGCCCCUCUUGUCGCUCUCCGCACCCCCCCCCUCUCCUGUGCGAGUGUGUGCUGGUGGAGGCGGCUGACUGAGGCGACGGCGCACGCAAGGUAAGCAGCCGUGCAGCACAGCAGGAGCGUACACGCAUACACACCUAUACACGCGGGAACGGGACUGCAGGCGAGGGGCAGGACCGGAGAAUGCGCGGCGGUAUGAGCGAGUGCGACGGUGGAGCGGAGCAGAGGCGGGUCUGCUUUCCUGCUCGCUCCUCUGGCGUCUGGCUCGAGUCCGUCUGCGUGUGCGCCCCCUGUGUCGCUGUGUCUCCUCGCCUCUCUCCUGCGAGAUUUGUGUCGAUGGCUUCGUUGCUGACGCACCCCACCGAGUCCUCCGGGCUCCACCGUGUGGAGUUGCCACGCUGUAUGUGACGGGUUGCAGCGCACCGACGCGACUGUGGGGAGAGAAGCACUGCAUCCAGGUCGACUACACUGCAGGGCCUCACAGGGCCCUGACCGGAGGCUGGGCAGCAUUCUCCCUCGGCUCGUGCGGCACGUAGAGCCACCGCUCCCCACGAACGCCCUGCUACCCUUUGCUACCCCCUCCCCACCGACAGAGGCCAGCGCCUCCGUCAUGGAGCACGACCCUGAGGGGGCGGCCCCGCUGGGAGCGCGGCGUGCCGUGCGCCCCGGUGCGUGUGGCGCCGAUGCAGCGGCAGGACGGCUCGUCCUCGACGACGCGGAUGUGGCCGCCGUGCCACAGGGCGUAGGCGGGCCGUGGCUGUACGCGCGCAUCUGCCGGCUUGUGCGUGGUGGCGUGGAGGCGGUGAGAAGGAAGUGCAUGCCUCGCGGACUCGGACAGACAUGCGAAUCAGCACACCUAAGCAUAAGCAAAACGACGCGUGCAUAUAUGCACCGAUAUCUAUAUCUAUAUAUAUAUGGCUGUGUGGAUGUCUGUAACGACAAAACCGCCAAACGCCUGUUAUUACGCUGUCCUCGCCUGGCAGGGCGGGGGGCGUGCGUGCGCUUUUUACUCCUCUCUUGCUUGUCCUGUGUUUCCUUUGCGGCACGCCUUCCUGCGCGCGUGCCUGUUCGUUAUCAUGCUUGCUUCCGUUGUCCGACU
rnacentral:misc_RNA from 1 species